AUCCGCUGUCGGCUGGGCCGCGUGACGUCAUCCGGCCCCGCCCCGCCCUGCACGUCCGGCGUCUGCGGAUCCCUGGUACCGGGUUCUUCUCCGUUUUCUGCGGCGCUGCCCGCCCUGCCCUUUAGCCCGCGAUCGCGGGGAUCGGUUGAAUUUGGGACUCGGUGGGUGCGAAAGUGAGCGAGCGGGUACUGCACAAAAAUCCUCAUCAAAACUGAGUUAAAAACAGCAACUCUUUGCCCUCAUAUUUCUGUCAGCUGCUCACCUGGGAGUGACUCUGGUCUCGCCUGCAAGCACUCAUCUGUUCAAGUCAUCUGUCAUGGGACAGCUUACCUGAGGCCAAACGUCUAAGAAGAUAACUACAUCGAGUUGCAGAAAAGUGUGUGGACACAAGAUCAUGUGACUCACCAGAGAGCAUUACUACAGUGCUUUUCCACAGCUGAGAUUUCCCAUAGGACAAUAUUCUACGGAUAGCAAAACAAGACAGAAAAACAACUCCGAAUGGCAGUUUUUGAACAAUUCACUGGAAGUUGUGGAACAGAAGGUAGUGAAUUUGGAUUAAUCAGGCUGGCUGGCCCUGAACCAGGGAAAGCCCUGCGAGGGAGGCGGAUUUCCGGCCGCAUCCAGAAGUCACUGGCCGCGGCCCUGACCCAAGGUGGGCGCUGGCAGGACGCUCACCGGAUUAGCUGCAGAGAGCUCAACUUCUGAUGAAGGGUUUGCUAAGACAGCGUGAGAAAAAAUUACAGUAAAAUGGAAAAAAUGUCUGUAGCAUUCCCAGCAUGAUUCUCGCAGAUUCACCUGGUGUUGAGUGGCCGGAGACGUUAAUGGCACCGUG
rnacentral:lncRNA from 1 species